CGCACGCCCUCGCAUGACCUCUCGCCCCCUCCUCAUCCUUCCAUCCGACGCAGCACGGGGACGCCAUUCCCCGAUUCUCCCGCGCCGCGCCGUUCGCCGCCCCGCCGCCCCCAUCCUCCCGUGUCGUCGCCGCCCGCCGUCCUCUCCUCCCGUGUCUCCUGCCGCUUGCCCCCACAUCAUGGUGCGCCAUGGGUGCCAUCCAGAUCGAGCACGGGCUCUGCCUUCGUCGUCGGCGGCGGAGUUCUUCUCCUCCGUCGAGCAGCGGCGGCGGCAUGGGACGCAGCGGGAUCGGCCUGCCACAGGGUCCUCUCCUCCGUCGAGCAGCGGCGUCCGCGUGGGACACAGCAGGCUCGGCGCGGUGAUGGAUUUCUCUUGUGGGUCAUUCGAAACCGCCGAUGUGCCAACGAUUCCUCAUCUAUGUUCCUCAAUCUGUAGCUGCGAGAAACUGAAAGAGCCAUGGUUCUCUCUGUACAUAAAGAAAUCUUCUCAAUUUAAUGCUUCGAGGACGCAAGGAUCUGAAUCAACAUAGUGCAGAUGCCAAUAACAUGCAGAGAUGCCAAGGCUGUCAUGGCUAAAUCUCAUUCCGGUAGUGAUCUGCGGUCAUUAACGACAUGUGUCGUACAUCAAAGGAUGUGAGAUUGGGAGAUGUUGUCAAAGAGUAUGCCCAACAACCAUGGGUUUGCAUUCGUUGCUAGAGCCAUGGAUGAUCCUGCAGCUUUGACCCAACGAGUUGCCAAAGUUCACGCUUCAGAGUUUCAGAAGAUGUGCUAUUCACUGAUUCCUAACUUUCUCUUAUCAGGAAAGCCCUUCUGGAGGUUAGUGAGGAACUUACUAAAGGCGCCAUGGAAUAUAUUGUUGUCGAGGAAGGGCAUUUUUAUUGCCUAAUUUGCUCCAUAAUUGAGUUGCGAAAAUUUGAUAGCUUCAGAAUGUCAUCCAGUGAAUUAUGGAGCUCUGAGACAGACGGAUGCACUGCUGUCAAUAAAUGUGAGGUUCAGAGGAGUUCUGUCAAAUGCCACAACAUGCUUAUCAUAUCAUAGGCUGGUUCCUUCCCACCAUUGCACUUGUCCCGGCUUCUUAUAUAGAAGAUGAUUUGGAAGCUCGAAAUAGAAAAUCAAUUAAUGUAAUGCAGAUUACACAUUAAGCAACUUCUGAAAGCAAAGACCAAGAGAAAUGUGGUGAGCUCUGUAGGAGUAAAGUGAUGUAACAGUCUCUUUUAUUCAAGGAAUUUUUCGUACAAUUUUCUUUCUUUACGAAGUUUGAGGGCACCUGCUUGGAAAAAAAAAUUGAUGCUCUUUGACGUCUAUUUUAAGCGUACCUUCUGUAAGUCGAUACACCAUUCUAUACAUUUCACUUGUUGUACUUCAAGAUUCAUCUGCACUAUUGUACAUAUAUUUUAUUAUUAAUUUAUUAUCUAUUCAUGAAUUAUUUUGUAAAUUUUACAACAGAUGAUGGCAGAGUCAGUGAUGAUUAGUGCAUCUCAGAUUGUAAUAGACCUUGAUCAUGUAGUGACUUAAUUUCUCGGCCUCUUAAGAGUAAGACUAAAUUUUUGUGUGAUACGAAUCAUGAAAAUAUUGCUGCACCAACACACGUGCUCAAUUAGUGGAUAUAAUAAUCGAUAGAUAGAUUCUUGGUCCUUACCCGUACUAGCUUGGAAAAUAAAUUUGCUGUAGGUGAUGUAACCCCCCUACACAAUCUAGCUUGCACUUAGUAUUAUUAAGAGGGCUUGCAUAUAUGAUGUCAAACAAAAAGAGGGCUCACAUAUAUGUCCUCUGUUUAACAAGGAGAUGAACUGGAAUAAAUACUAGGUACAUAAUAUCUAUUGUAAAUUAUAUUUAUUACUUAAUACGUGCAGCUUGAAAAAGUAAAGCACUAAUGGAGCAAUAAGUGGAAGUCCAAUUCAGAAAGAAGUAGUUUGUUUUAUAUACUAGAUUGGACAAUGCUUUUCUGCUCGAAGUCUAUUACUGAAUCUUAAAUCAAGAGGAAGUUAUCUAACUGGUCUUCCAUCUCAUUUUCUUCUUAAGGAACCGGGAAGUUUCGCGAAGUCAAUACAGUGGGCGACAGAGCAGCUAAGUCAUUUAAGCAACGCAUGUGUAGUGCACAGCGGCAGCGGCAGCGGCUGCACGGCCACGACGGACAAGCAACAACGCGGAGCACGGACAGGUGGUGGUAAGAUCAAGUUUUGAAACUGGGCUUUGAUGAGAAGUUCAUUCGUAUAUGGGAAUUCUACCUUGUAUACUCUGCCACUGGUUUCAAGUCAUGAGUAGUUAGAGAUUACCAGGCACGGAUGUAUAUAUGUGUGCUCUUUGCAUAUGUUUACCUGCAUUAUUACUAGACAAAUGGAAGUCAUAUACUCCCUCUGGUCUUCAAAAAACAUCUUUCUGGAAACUGUUUGGUGGUUUCCAAUGCAGACUAAAAUUUAAGUUGAUGUCGCUUUCUACAAUUAUGUUAGUCUCAACCAUAAGAUUGAGAGAUCAGUAGACAACAGAUCUUUGAGUGAAUAGUAGUAAAUUAGAACCUUUGGUGAACUUGUAGAAAGCAAGCUUUCAUCGUUUGAGAUUGUAAAUGACCUGGGACAGACCUGAGUCAUUUACAAUCUCAAUUGAUAACUUUGAAUCUUUGCGUCUUCUGUAUAUAUAUAUAUUUCAGCACAUUUUAUAUCAACUGUUAACUUUGAAUCUUUGUGUCUUCCAUCAGAUCAUGCUUACUGUUGGAUUCGUACAUGAAUAACUAAAAGCACCAUGCAUUACACAUUUCCUUCAUUUUAGCCAUUAAACUUAUGUAUCUGGUGUUAAUUUAGUAUGAUUUCUUGUACUGAGUGUAUCUUCAUCUUAGUUAGGAAGGUCUCUGAGUGUCUUUGGUCAUCCUAAAUUUUAUGUGGAUUCUUUUUCCAGUCUUUUUUAGGUUUGCCAAACAAUAAUUAUUAUAGCCCUUGAUCUGCACAUGCCCAAUUUCCUUAUAUUGUAUUGUUUCCCGUUCUAUAAUAACAGCCUUUCUGGUUUCUGCCUUGCUAAGAUGUUGAAGCACGGCAACAUGUUUAAUACUGUCAGAACUAAGCAUAUGGUAGAGAAAGGGUUGCUUGCAUGCCAUCCAUGUCAAAAAGAAAAUGUUAAAUCCCCUCUCUCCAUUUUCCUUACCUUGAAUCUAACGCUUUGUUGAUCUGUUUUUAUCGUCUAGAUGUUCUGCAACUAUAUACACAAUAGAUACUGUCUGCCUGAACUAUAGUUCCACUCCUUGAGAAGAUGAGAUAAACUAAGAAUGGGGCAAAGAAAUUCCGACUCUUCCUGCUCGCAGGCAGGGCCUGCUAUGACUCCUAUGGAUGGCAUUACCGCAAUUAUCGAGCCUUCAAAUUUUGAAGAUAACAAGUAGCCCGAAUCCAAGAAGAAAACUAAUUCAGUUCUGCCAAGACUACUAUAUUUUGGGUAUCUUUGUUCCAACUUUGCAUUGACAUCACUUGGAAAAUGUUUAUGUGUUCCUUUGAUUUUCACCAAGAAAAUAAACAUUCUGAAAUCUUUAUAGGAUAUUUGAUUCCAUUUUUACUAAAGAAUAGACUAAAUAGACUACGUCCUUACAUUCUCCAUGGAGAAGUUGUCCACCCAGUUGAUUUGCCAUUGAUUUGUGACAUUUUUUGUGCAGUUAUGAUUUCUGUGGUUUGCUUGGUAUCGUCAAAAGAUAAUUUAUGGGUUUGUACUUCUCCUUUUGUUUAUAGAGAAUGGGUCAUCCUAGAGUAUGAAUUGAAAAUUUUAUACCCCAUGAA